GGGCUGUAGCUAUAAUAAUUUAUCACAUGAAGUUUUACUGGCCGGGUGUCGUUUUUUUCAGUCGAUAACUCUGCUUACCGAACUUCAUACAUAU